rnacentral:rRNA from 1 species
UACGUAGGGUGCAAGCGUUAAUCGGAAUUACUGGGCGUAAAGCGUGUGCAGGCGGUUUCUUAAGUCAGAUGUGAAAGCCCCGGGCUUAACCUGGGAACUGCGUUUGAAACUGGGAGACUUGAGUGUGGCAGAGGGGGGUGGAAUUCCACGUGUAGCAGUGAAAUGCGUAGAUAUGUGGAGGAACACCGAUGGCGAAGGCAGCCCCCUGGGUUAACACUGACGCUCAUGCACGAAAGCGUGGGGAGCAAACAGG